CGGUUAAGUAUUUAAUGGUACUGGUACGGGAAUACUUUGGCAACUGCAUCCAAAGAAAAUGGAAUUGAGCUUAAGAAGAAGUAAUCCUGUUUGCCAAACAGAGGAGUUCGUGGGCACGUGUAACCCUGUGUUAACGUGAGGAGGGCCACGCUGAACAGAACCUAUAGUGAUGGAGAUAACGUACGAAGGAUAUUGAGUGACACGUAUCUCAGCCUAUAUAGUGCGAGGGCGUAUUGACUGUUUGUCAUAGUGCGAUGCUGAUACAAGACCGGCUUCAGUCACAUCCAUAAGCCUAUUGGGAGGAUCGUUAACGUUGUGAUUUAUUGUUCGCUGUGAGAUAUGAAACCGACACUUUCCUUCGGACUACUUUUCCUCAUUCCUUUGCUGGUGGAAGGAUUCACUCUGUACGACGGCUGUUUGUUUGAGUGUCUCAACUGCGUCGAAUCAUGGGGCAAGAAUAUGUAUGACGGCAAGGCGUGUGCGCAGGCCUGCAUAGAUUCAAAAGGGAGGACCAUCGACCCUGAUUGUACAGGAGGAACCGCGCCAUCAAGAAAGCGCACAGAAUUGCGUGUGACGUCAGAGGAUUGCGAAGAACGUUGCGAAAAAUGUGUACACGACGAAAUUGGGCUACAAUUGAAUCGUCUUUCGUGCAUAUUUACGUGCCUUGUGAAGAAGGAGCUACCCAAGGAUUGUUGAAAAAAAGACACUUUGAGACAGUAGAAUGUGAAUAUUAUUUAUAACUGCAAAAGUGUUUAUUUUGUAGCCACUCAUCCCUCCUCUCGUGUGUAUUUAGUUCAUUCAAUUUUAAAUUUCUGUUAAUUUUGGGACAUUUUGGACAUAUAACGAGGAGCGUUAUUUUUCAUCAUUGUCCGCCUAACUGGGCCUCGAAAAUAGUGUACAACCACUUGUCCUUACAUAUUGUACGCCUUUCUGUGGUCUCCAAACAAAUUGAACAGUCGUGCCAUAGUCAGAUUUGGAAUGUACCUUACUGUACAAAUGACGGAAUAUUGAAUUCAGCAAUGUACGGUAAAUAAAUCUGUACGAAAGGGGUUGAUUGACUAUCUCGAUAAAGUGAAAGACAAUGUUAGAGUGUUUUUCGCUCAGAAGAAUGAAAAUGAAAAUGUAUCUGUCCUAUGCAUAAACAUGAAACUUCGUUAACUUACACUUUAACGGGGAUAUAUAAUUGUUUCAGAACAUAGAACUUUCUGGUAUCGGUACAAGAUUAUCGGGACAAUGUCAUACACUCGGAUUGCAUAUGGACACGGUAUGCAUUACAUUACAAUGCUCGAUUAUUUUUAUAUCAUCUGUAUUGAUACAUUCCUUUAUGUGUCACAUGAUAUGUUAGUACAUUCCAUAAAAAAAUAUCAUUUAUUUAUUUAUUUAUUUCAAACAAAAAAUGUUUCCAACGGUUGGAAUAAAGAGUUCGUGCUUAAGAA